rnacentral:rRNA from 1 species
GACGAACGCUGGCGGCGUGCUUAACACAUGCAAGUCGAACGGAAAGGCCCCUUUGGGGGUCCUCGAGUGGCGAACGGGUGAGUAACACGUGAGUAACCUGCCCUUGACUUCGGGAUAACUUCAGGAAACUGGGGCUAAUACCGGAUAGGAAUCCUUGCUGCAUGGUGGGGGUUGGAAAGCUUCGGCGGUUUUGGAUGGACUCGCGGCUUAUCAGCUUGUUGGUGGGGUAGUGGCUUACCAAGGCUGUGACGGGUAGCCGGCCUGAGAGGGCGACCGGCCACAUGGGGACUGAGAUACGGCCCAGACUCCUACGGGAGGCAGCAGUGGGGAAUAUUGCACAAUGGGCGGAAGCCUGAUGCAGCAACGCCGCGUGCGGGAUGACGGCCUUCGGGUUGUAAACCGCUUUCAGCAGGGGCGAAGCUUGUGGUGACGGUACCUGCAGAAGAAGCACCGGCUAACUACGU